rnacentral:tRNA from 16 species
GGGCUUUUAGCUCAGUUGGUUAGAGCAACAGACUCAUAAUCUGGAGGUCCUUGGUUCAAGCCCAAGAUGGCCCACGA